rnacentral:rRNA from 1 species
UACGUAGGGUGCAAGCGUUGUCCGGAAUUAUUGGGCGUAAAGAGCUCGUAGGCGGUCUGUCGCGUCGGCUGUGAAAACUCGGGGCUCAACUCCGAGCUUGCAGUCGAUACGGGCAGGCUAGAGUUCGGCAGGGGAGACUGGAAUUCCCGGUGUAGCGGUGAAAUGUGUAGAGAUCGGGAGGAACACCGGUGGCGAAGGCGGGUCUCUGGACAGUUCCUGACACUGAGGCACGAAGGCCAGGGGAGCAAACGGG